CUUCCUACUACAGCCUCGCGACUAAUGAGAAGACUGAUAUUCAAAUUAUCAAUUCUCUCAUUAGCCGCGCGAAUCGGUUGUAGCUAAAGAGGCUUUAAUUAAACAACUAAUUAUAAAUCAUAGCUUAGCAUUCAAGUUAAGUAUAAUUCGAGUAUUACUUCAACUUUAAAUGCAACUUUUAGAAGAAAAGGGGCCAUUUGGCCCCUUUCC
rnacentral:sRNA from 1 species